rnacentral:misc_RNA from 1 species
AGUCGUAACAAGGUUUCCGUAGGUGAACCUGCGGAAGGAUCAUUACCGAGUGAGGGCCCUCUGGGUCCAACCUCCCACCCGUGUUUAUUUUACCUUGUUGCUUCGGCGAGCCUGCCUUUUGGCUGCCGGGGGACGUCUGUCCCCGGGUCCGCGCUCGCCGAAGACACCUUAGAACUCUGUCUGAAGAUUGUAGUCUGAGAUUAAAUAUAAAUUAUUUAAAACUUUCAACAACGGAUCUCUUGGUUCCGGCAUCGAUGAAGAACGCAGCGAAAUGCGAUACGUAAUGUGAAUUGCAGAAUUCAGUGAAUCAUCGAGUCUUUGAACGCACAUUGCGCCCUCUGGUAUUCCGGAGGGCAUGCCUGUCCGAGCGUCAUUGCUGCCCUCAAGCACGGCUUGUGUGUUGGGCUCCGUCCUCCUUCCGGGGGACGGGCCCGAAAGGCAGCGGCGGCACCGCGUCCGGUCCUCAAGCGUAUGGGGCUUUGUCACCCGCUUUGUAGGACUGGCCGGCGCCUGCCGAUCAACCAAACUUUUUUCCAGGUUGACCUCGGAUCAGGUAGGGAUACCCGCUGAACUUAAGCAUAUCAAUAAGCGGAGGA